CAGCCGCCGCGGGAAUACGGAGGGUGCAAGCGUUAAUCGGAAUUACUGGGCGUAAAGCGCACGCAGGCGGUCUGUCAAGUCAGAUGUGAAAUCCCCGGGCUUAACCUGGGAACUGCAUUUGAAACUGGCAGGCUAGAGUCUUGUAGAGGGGGGUAGAAUUCCAGGUGUAGCAGUGAAAUGCGUAGAUAUGCGGAGGAACACCGAUGGCGAAGGCAAUCCCCUGGGCCUGUACUGACGCUCAUGCACGAAAGCGUGGGGAGCAAACAGGAUUAGAUACCCCUGUAGUCCCUGUCUCUUAUAA
rnacentral:rRNA from 1 species